AUUGAACGCUCGCGGGAUGCUUUACACAUGCAAGUCGAACGAGUGGCGGACGGGUGAGUAAUAUAUCGGAACGUGCCCAGUCGCGGGGGUUAACUACUCGAAAGAGUGGCUAAUACCGCAUACUCUUUGAGCGGCCGAUAUCGGAUUAGCUAGUUGGUGGGGUGAAGGCUCACCAAGGCAACGAUCCGUUGCGGGUUUGAGAGGACGUCCAGCCACGCUGGAACUGAGACACGGCCCAGACUCCUACAUGAGGCAGCAGUGGGGAAUGUGGGACAAUGGGGGAAACCCUGAUCCAGCCAUCCCGCGUGUAUGAGAAGGCCGUCGAGUUGUAAAGUACUUUUGGCAGAGAAGCAGUACCUGCAGAAUAAGCACCGGCUAACUACGUGCCAGCGGCCGCGGUAAUAC
rnacentral:rRNA from 1 species